AUCGAACGCUGGCGGCAGGCCUAACACAUGCAAGUCGAGCGGAUGAAGGGAGCUUGCUCCUGGAUUCAGCGGCGGACGGGUGAGUAAUGCCUAUGAAUCUGCCUGGUAGUGGGGGAUAACGUCCGGAAACGGGCGCUAAUACCGCAUACGUCCUGAGGGAGAAAGUGGGGGAUCUUCGGACCUCACGCUAUCAGAUGAGCCUAGGUCGGAUUAGCUAGUUGGUGGGGUAAAGGCCUACAAAGGCGGCGAUCCGUAACUGGUCUGAGAGGAUGAUCAGUCACACUGGAACUGAGAAAGGGUCCAGACUCCUGCGGGAAGAAGCAGUGGAGAAUAUUAGGCGAUGGGGGAGAGCGGGAUCCAGGCAUGCCGCGUGUGUGAAGAAGGACUUCGGAUGGUAGAGCACUUAAAGUUGGGGGGAAGGGCAGUACGUUAAUACCGUGCUGUAUUGACGGUACCAGCAGAAUAAGCACCGGCUAACUUCGUG
rnacentral:rRNA from 1 species